rfam:Mumia flava strain MTSC 201 Contig749, whole genome shotgun sequence.
UGUCUCCUCCACCCUCCUUGGUGGAUUGUGGCCCGAGCACCUGGUGCUCGGGCUUUUUUCU